rnacentral:rRNA from 1 species
UACGGGGGGGGCAAGCGUUGUUCGGAAUUACUGGGCGUAAAGGGCUCGUAGGUGGCCAACUAAGUCAGACGUGAAAUCCCUCGGCUUAACCGGGGAACUGCGUCUGAUACUGGAUGGCUUGAGUUUGGGAGAGGGACGCGGAAUUCCAGGUGUAGCGGUGAAAUGCGUAGAUAUCAGGAGGAACACCGGUGGCGAAGGCGGAUCUCUGGGCCUUACCUGACGCUCAGGUGCGAAAGCUAGGGGAGCGAACAGG